CUCAGGACGAACGCUGGCGGCGUGCCUAAUACAUGCAAGUCGAGCGGACAGAUGGGAGCUUGCUCCCUGAUGUUAGCGGCGGACGGGUGAGUAACACGUGGGUAACCUGCCUGUAAGACUGGGAUAACUCCGGGAAACCGGGGCUAAUACCGGAUGGUUGUUUGAACCGCAUGGUUCAAACAUAAAAGGUGGCUUCGGCUACCACUUACAGAUGGACCCGCGGCGCAUUAGCUAGUUGGUGAGGUAACGGCUCACCAAGGCNACGAUGCGUAGCCGACCUGAGAGGGUGAUCGGCCACACUGGGACUGAGACACGGCCCAGACUCCUACGGGAGGCAGCAGUAGGGAAUCUUCCGCAAUGGACGAAAGUCUGACGGAGCAACGCCGCGUGAGUGAUGAAGGUUUUCGGAUCGUAAAGCUCUGUUGUUAGGGAAGAACAAGUACCGUUCGAAUAGGGCGGUACCUUGACGGUACCUAACCAGAAAGCCACGGCUAACUACGUGCCAGCAGCCGCGGUAAUACGUAGGUGGCAAGCGUUGUCCGGAAUUAUUGGGCGUAAAGGGCUCGCAGGCGGUUUCUUAAGUCUGAUGUGAAAGCCCCCGGCUCAACCGGGGAGGGUCAUUGGAAACUGGGGAACUUGAGUGCAGAAGAGGAGAGUGGAAUUCCACGUGUAGCGGUGAAAUGCGUAGAGAUGUGGAGGAACACCAGUGGCGAAGCGACUCUCUGGUCUGUAACUGACGCUGAGAGCGAAAGCGUGGGGAGC
rnacentral:rRNA from 2 species